GACGAACGCUGGCGGCGUGCUUAACACAUGCAAGUCGAACGGGGCGAAGUGAUAGCUUGCUAUUAUGGAGCCUAGUGGCAAACGGGUGAGUAACGCGUAGGCAACCUGCCCUUCAGAUGGGGACAACACCUCGAAAGGGGUGCUAAUACCGAAUGACGUUUCCUGGUCGCAUGACCUGGAAACCAAAGGCCGGGCAACCGGUCACUGAAGGAUGGGCCUGCGUCUGAUUAGCUAGUUGGUGGGGUAACGGGCCCGACCAAGGCGACGAUCAGUAGCCGGUCUGAGAGGAUGAACGGCCGCAUUGGGACUGAGACACGGCCCAAACUCCUACGGGAGGCAGCAGUGGGGAAUCUUCCGCAAUGGGCGCAAGCCUGACGGAGCAACGCCGCGUGAGUGAAGAAGGUUUUCGGAUCGUAAAGCUCUGUUGAGAGGGACGAGAGAUAUAAUCAGGAAAUGGGUUAUAGAGGACGGUACCUUUCGAGGAAGCCACGGCUAACUACGUGCCAGCAG
rnacentral:rRNA from 1 species